CUUGGGGCUCGGGCUUUGGCUCUGGACACAAGGACAGCAUCCUCGCGGCAGCCGCGGCAGCUGCUACACUUGGUCAGGUGACUUUGACUAUCACCGCUUUCUUCAUUCUUCAUCAUCAUCAUUUCCACCAUCACCACGACCACCACCAUCAACAUUUCUAUUCCUCCAUCAGAGCUCUUCAAGUUCUGCAAAGGCAGACUGUUCAGGAAUGCCUGGUGGCUUCACAUUCUUGACAUCUCAAAGCCUGGAGCCUGCCCAAGUGAAGGUCGAUCGAGG